CAGCCGCCACGGUAAUACGAGGGGGGCAAGCGUUGUUCGGAAUUAUUGGGCGUAAAGGGUGCGUAGGCGGUUUGACAAGUCUUAUGUGAAAUCUCUGGGCUCAACCCAGAGUCUGCAUGGGAAACUGUCGGGCUUGAGUAUGGGAGAGGUGAGUGGAAUUUCCGGUGUAGCGGUGAAAUGCGUAGAUAUCGGAAGGAACACCUGUGGCGAAAGCGGCUCACUGGACCAUAACUGACGCUGAGGCACGAAAGCUAGGGGAGCAAACAGGAUUAGAUACCCCAGUAGUCCCUGUCUCUUAUAC
rnacentral:rRNA from 1 species